GCAGGCGCUGGGCGGCCGUCCGCGCGCCCCGGCUAGCAGGCGUUCUCGCGCCAGGCCGCGCCGCCGGCACUCACCAGGGCAGCUCGUAAUGGCCGCCGGCGGCAGGAGCGGCCCCCGGGGGGUCGGCGGAUCCGCGCUUCUCGCCUGCCGCGGGCCCGGCCUUCUCGUCCUCCGCGGCCUCAACCUCCAUCCCGGCGGCGGCUGAUGCGGCCCGGCCCCUGUCUCCCCGCCGCCUCCGUGAGGGGAGGGCCGCGCUCCCGGGCCCGCCUCGCGGGGCGGGACGGCGAAGGCCGGCGGGCUACCUUUAUUUCCCCCUAUAGAAUGAAAACAAUAAAAGAAACACCGCAAAAUACUAUAAUAGAGAAUGAGUGUCCACAAGACCAGAUGUGUGGUUACAGCUUUAGUCAGCAGAGGGAGUAUGGACACCUGUAUUAAAAGCCACAUAGGGUCACCCAUGACAGCCAAGGGAAGAGACUUUCUCCUAGAAUUCCUCUGUUGUCUGCAAAAAAAAAAG